CCCGGGAGGCUCUACAUCGCGGGCGCUGGGGCCGCCAUCUUAGAGUAAGAGGAGAAGGCGUGAGGCGGGAAGGCUUUUCUUUCGCUCUCUGUGGGCCCCGGAAAAGGCAGCUGGCCGGGCUUUGGGGCAUGUGCCCUGAGGUGCGGAGCGCGAGUAUUAUGAUGCAGGGGUUGCCCGGGACUCCGUCCCCUGGGUUGGGGAUGCACCGAAUGUGACAGCCUCCCACUCCCUCACCCGCCCCUGGGAAGAGGAGCAGAUGAGACGCAGCUGCCAGACAACAGGGCACUGGGGCGGCCCGGCUCUCUCAGAUUUAAGUAUUGUUUAAGCUGCAUCAAUGGAGCACAUACUGGGGACUUGGAAGACGAUCAGCAAUGGGUUUGGAUUCAAAGAUGCGGUGUUUGAUGGCUCCAGCUACAUUUCCCCUACAAUAGUUCAGCAAUUUGGCUAUCAGCACCGGGCGUCAGAUAAUGGCAAACUCACAGAUUCUUCUAAGACAAGCAACACUAUUCGUGUUUUCUUGCCGAACAAGCAAAGAACAGUGGUUAAUGUGAGAAAUGGAAUGAGCUUUCAUGACAGUGUUCAGACUUCAUGAACACAAAGGUAAAAAAGCACGUUUAGAUUGGAAUACCGAUGCUGCUUCUUUGAUUGGAGAAGAACUUCAAGUAGAUUUCCUGGAUCAUGUUCCCCUAACAACACACAAUUUUGCUCGAAAGACGUUCCUGAAGCUUGCCUUCUGUGACAUAUGUCAGAAAUUCCUGCUCAACGGAUUUCGAUGACAGACUGUGGCUACAAAUUUCAUGAGCACUGUAGCACCAAAGUACCUACUAUGUGUGUGAACUGGAGUAAUAUCAGACAACUCUUAUUGUUUCCAAAUUCACUAUUGGUGAUAGUGGGGUCCCAAGCACUACUUCUUAGACAAUGUGUCGUAUGCAAGAGUCUGUUUCCCGGAUACCUGUUAGUUCCCAGCACAGAUAUUCUACAUCUCAUGCCUUCACAUUCAACACCUCCAGCCCCUCCUCUGAAGGUUCCCUCUCCCAGAAGCAGAGGUCUACGUCCACACCUAAUGUCCACAUGGUCAGCACCACCCUACUUGUGGACAGCAGGAUGAUUGAGGAUAUAAUUCGAAGUCACAGCAAAUCAGCCUCAUCUUCUGCCCUGUCCAGCAGCCCCAACAAUCUGAGCCCACUGGGUUGGUCACAGUCCAAAACCCCUAUGCCAGCACAAAGAGAGCAGGCACCAGGAUCCAGGACCCAGGAGAAAAAUAAAAUUAGGCCUCGUGGACAAAGAGAUUCAAGCUAUUACUGGGAAAUAGAAGCUAGUGAAGUGAUGCUCUCCACUCGGAUUGGGUCAGGCUCCUUUGGGACUGUUUAUAAGGGCAAGUGGCAUGGAGAUGUUGCUGUGACGAUCCUAAAGGUUGUCGACCCAACCCCAGAGCAGUUCCAGGCCUUCAGGAAUGAGGUGGCUGUCCUGCGCAAAACACGGCAUGUGAACAUUCUCCUCUUCAUGGGGUACAUGACAAAGGACAACCUGGCGAUUGUGACCCAGUGGUGCGAGGGCAGCUGCCUCUACAAACACCUGCAUGUCCAGGAGACCAAGUUUCAGAUGUUCCAGUUAAUUGACAUUGCCCGGCAGAUGACUUAGGGGAUGGACUAUUUGCAUGCAAAGAAUAUCAUUCACAGAGACAUGAAGUCCAACAAUAUAUUUCUCCAUGAAGGCCUAACGGUAAAAAUUGGAGAUUUUGGUUUGGCAACCGUCAAGUCACGCUAGAGUGACUCUCAGCAGGUUGAACAGCCCACCAGAUCCAUCUUGUGGAUGGCCCCAGAGGUGAUCCGAAUGCAGAAUAACAACCCGUUCAGGUACAGUACGAUGUCUACUAUGGCAUUGUACUGUACAAGCUGAUGACGGGGGAACUCCCUUACUCCCACAUCAAUAACUGAGACCAGAUCAUCUUCAUGGUGGGCCGAGGGUAUGCCUCCCCAGAUCUUAGUAAGCUAUACAAGAACUGCCCCAAAGCAAUGAAGAGGCUGGUAGCCGACUGUGUGAAGAAAGUGAAGGAAAAGAGUCUUUUCCCCCAGAUCCUGUCUUCCAUUGAGCUGUUCCAGCACUCCCUGCCAAAGAUAACCGGAGCGUCUCUGAGCCAUCCCUGCAUCGGGUGGCCCACACUGAGGAUAUCAAUGCUUGCACGCUGACCACGUCCCCAAGACUGCCUGUCUUUUAG